GAUGAACGCUGGCGGCGUGCCUAAUACAUGCGAGUCGAGCGAACAGACGAGGAGCUUGCUCCUCUGACGUUAGCGGCGGACGGGGGAGUAACACGUGGAUAACCUACCUAUAAGACUGGGAUAACUUCGGGAAACCGGAGCUAAUACCGGAUAAUAUAUUGAACCGCAUGGUUCAAUAGUGAAAGACGGUUUUGCUGUCACUUAUAGAUGGAUCCGCGCCGCAUUAGCUAGUUGGUAAGGUAACGGCUUACCAAGGCGACGAUGCGUAGCCGACCUGAGAGGGUGAUCGGCCACACUGGAACUGAGACACGGUCCAGACUCCUACGGGAGGCAACAGUAGGGAAUCUUCCGCAAUGGGCGAAAGCUUGACGGAGCAACGCCGCGUGAGUGAUGAAGGUCUUCGGAUCGUAAAACUCUGUUAUUAGGGAAGAACAAAUGUGUAAGUAACUAUGCACGUCUUGACGGUACCUAAUCAGAAAGCCACGGCUAACUACGUG
rnacentral:rRNA from 1 species